CCAACACCCUGCAGCUUACACUCCUCCAGGCACCCGCUUGGCCCCUAGAGCCCAGAAGGCCAGUGCUUAUCAUCGAAGAGACUCUCAGAUGUGGGGGGUUUCCUGUAAAGACUCUCUCCAGCUCAUGGUCUCUGGGAACACAGGGCAACUCCAGCCGUGUGGCGGGUUUUGCUUCACUUUCAUUUAACAUUAUAAUUAGCUGCUUCUCCAGAGAUGUUCAGCCAAGUCCCCUGGGCGAGUGUGUGGAUUAAAUGUUCUCUGCCUGAUGCCACAGGCUUUGUGCUAAUUCCCAGCUGGAUGCAUUCCCAGUGAGGUACCGUGUCCUUCAAACCAAGGUGCCAGGCCCCUGCUGGGAGGGGGUGGGG